rnacentral:rRNA from 1 species
UCGAGAAUCUUCUGCAAUGGGCGCAAGCCUGACAGAGCGACGCCGCGUGCGGGAUGAAGGCCUUCGGGUUGUAAACCGCUGUCAGUGGGGAGCAAAUCUAGGGUGGUAAUUCAUAAUCCAUCUUAGUUGAGCAAUCCGCAGAGGAAGCACGGGCUAAGUUCGUGCCAGCAGCCGCGGUAAGACGAACCGUGCAAACGUUAUUCGGAAUCACUGGGCUUAAAGAGUUCGUAGGCGGCGCGUUAGGUGGGGUGUGAAAUCCCUCGGCUUAACCGAGGAAUUGCGCUCCAAACCGGCGUGCUUGAGGAAGGUAGAGGUGAGCGGAACUGAUGGUGGAGCGGUGAAAUGCGUUGAUAUCAUCAGGAACACCGGAGGCGAAGGCGGCUCACUGGGCCUUUUCUGACGCUGAGGAACGAAAGCCAGGGUAGCGAACGG